rnacentral:lncRNA from 1 species
AUCAAGUGAGUGUAUACUACCUUUCAUAAACACGAUAAUAAUACAAGUAUGGUUUGAGUGUAUUAAGUAUAUUGUUGUUUAUAUGUGUGAGUGUGUGGUUACUUUCUUCUAACACAUAAGUAUGAAGUAUUUGCUACGAAAUACGUGCUAUGUGUUUAUAGAUUGUUGUUUAUUUGAGGUGUUGGAGGAAUGGAUGAACUAUAUAGAUUUUUAAUGAGUUAAACUAUAUGUGUAUUUUAUAUCUACGAAUAUGUUGGGUAGGACAUGGGUAGAUGAGAUCCGUGAGUAUGGAUCAGAUCAAGAAGUUAGUUUUUAGAUUCGUGAGUAGGGAUCAGAUCAAGAGGUUAGUUUUUAGAUCCGUGAGUAGGGAUCAGAUCAAGAGGUUAGUUUUAGAUCCGUGAGUAUGGAUCAGGUAAAGAGAUAAACUUGCUAUUAGUCCGGGAGUAUGGAUUAAGACUAAGUUAAUUGUCCUUAGUCCGGGAGUAUGGAUUGGGCACAGUUAUAGAUCCGGGAGUAUGGAUCAGAUAUGGAUUAAGAUUAAGUUAAUUGUCCCUAGUCCGGGAGUAUGGAUUGGGCACAAUUAUAGAUCCGGGAGUAUGGAUCAGAUCAGGAUUAAGGUAUAGUUAAUUGUCCCUAUUCCGGGAGUAUGGAUUGGGUACAAUUAUUGAUCCGGGAGUAUGGAUCAGAUCAGGAGGUAGUUUUAGAUCCGUGAGUAUGGAUCAGGUAGUUUUAGAUCCGUGAGUAUGGAUCAGGUGAAAAGAAUAGUUUUAGAUCCAUGAGUAGGGAUCAAGUAAAGAGGAAAAUAUUAGAUACGAGAGUUUAGAUCGUGUCAUUGUGAGGAUCGAUGGGGUGGGUUAAGAGUUGCCUUUAUAUGGUGAAAUUGUGCAAGUUUGAAUGUUCUAUAUUUAUAAAUAUAUGAUAUAACAUUGUGGGAUGAAAACCCUAUAUGCUCACCAGGCUCCCAAGCCUGACCCACUCAGUUUUCUUUGUAUCACAGGUAUUAAUACGAAGACAUAUUUCACAGAGAGAUUUAAAGGAGAUAUAAAUCAAUUGUGUAAUUAAAUGUAAGUUCUGUUUAUGCUUAUAUGUCUGUAUCGGAACAUGACAUCCCGAGGUUUUAUUAUUAAAUGAAAAAUACAUUCCCUUUGAGAAAUGUUUUGAUAAGUUAUAAUCAUGUCUUGUUUUGGGAACAAAUUCCGUAACCGUUAUCUUUAAAAGAUUACUCUGAUUUUAUAAAAGAAAGCAUAAACAAAAUCUGUCUUUUCUGGCUGUG